GACGAACGCUGGCGGCGUGCUUAACACAUGCAAGUCGAACGGAAAGGCCCUGCUUUUGUGGGGUGCUCGAGUGGCGAACGGGUGAGUAACACGUGAGUAACCUGCCCUUGACUUUGGGAUAACUUCAGGAAACUGGGGCUAAUACCGGAUAGGAGCUCCUGCUGCAUGGUGGGGGUUGGAAAGUUUCGGCGGUUGGGGAUGGACUCGCGGCUUAUCAGCUUGUUGGUGGGGUAGUGGCUUACCAAGGCUUUGACGGGUAGCCGGCCUGAGAGGGUGACCGGCCACAAUGGGACUGAGAUACGGACCAGACUCCUACGGGAGGCAGCAGUGGGGAGUAUUGCACAAUGGGCGGAAGCCUGAUGCAGCAACGCCGCGUGCGGGAUGACGGCCUUCGGGUUGUAAACCGCUUUCGCCUGUGACGAAGCGUGAGUGACGGUAAUGGGUAAAGAAGCACCGGCUAACUACGUG
rnacentral:rRNA from 1 species